UCUGGUAUUGAUUGGUGCUUGCAUCAUGAUUUACAUUUGAGUGAGUGGCGAACUGGUGAGUAACACGUGGGAAACCUGCCCAGAAGCGGGGGAUAACACCUGGAAACAGAUGCUAAUACCGCAUAACAACUUGGACCGCAUGGUCCGAGUUUGAAAGAUGGCUUCGGCUAUCACUUUUGGAUGGUCCCGCGGCGUAUUAGCUAGAUGGUGGGGUAACGGCUCACCAUGGCAAUGAUACGUAGCCGACCUGAGAGGGUAAUCGGCCACAUUGGGACUGAGACACGGCCCAAACUCCUACGGGAGGCAGCAGUAGGGAAUCUUCCACAAUGGACGAAAGUCUGAUGGAGCAACGCCGCGUGAGUGAAGAAGGGUUUCGGCUCGUAAAACUCUGUUGUUAAAGAAGAACAUAUCUGAGAGUAACUGUUCAGGUAUUGACGGUAUUUAACCAGAAAGCCACGGCUAACUACGUGCCAGCAGCCGCGGUAAUACGUAGGUGGCAAGCGUUGUCCGGAUUUAUUGGGCGUAAAGCGAGCGCAGGCGGUUUUUUAAGUCUGAUGUGAAAGCCUUCGGCUCAACCGAAGAAGUGCAUCGGAAACUGGGAAACUUGAGUGCAGAAGAGGACAGUGGAACUCCAUGUGUAGCGGUGAAAUGCGUAGAUAUAUGGAAGAACACCAGUGGCGAANGCGGCUGUCUGGUCUGUAACUGACGCUGANGCUCGAAAGUAUGGGUAGCAAACAGGAUUAGAUACCCUGGUAGUCCAUACCGUAAACGAUGAAUGCUAAGUGUUGGAGGGUUUCCGCCCUUCAGUGCUGCAGCUAACGCAUUAAGCAUUCCGCCUGGGGAGUACGGCCGCAAGGCUGANCUCANNGAAUUGANGGGGCCCGCACAGCGGUGGAGCAUGUGGUUUAAUUCGAAGCUACGCG
rnacentral:rRNA from 2 species